GCCAGGUGCAGUGGUGCACGCCUGUAAUCCCAGCAGCUCGGGAGGCUGAGGCAGGAGAAUCUUGAGUUCAAAGCCAGCCUCAGUGCUGAGCAACUUAGUGAGACUCUGUCUCUA
rnacentral:sRNA from 1 species